rnacentral:rRNA from 3 species
GGUAGUGACGAAAAAUAACAAUACAGGACUCUUUCGAGGCCCUGUAAUUGGAAUGAGUCCACUUUAAAUCCUUCCGCGAGGAUCCAUUGGAGGGCAAGUCUGGUGCCAGCAGCCGCGGUAAUUCCAGCUCCAAUAGCGUAU